UGCAAGUCGAGCGGGAUAGGAAAUGGAGAACAGAGAGCAGAGAAAUGAUCUGAAAUCCAUUUAAAGGGAAACAAGAUAUGUAAAAGAGAAUUGUUCUCUGAUAUCUGUUCUCUGUUUUCUAUCUAGCGGCGGACGGGUGAGUAACGCGUGGGCAACCUGCCCUACACAGGGGGAUAACACUGGGAAACUAGUGCUAAUACCGCAUAACAACAUCUUAUGACAUCAUAGGAUGUUCAAAGGAGUAAUCCGGUGUAGGAUGGGCCCGCGUCCGAUUAGCUAGUUGGUGAGGUAACGGCCCACCAAGGCGACGAUCGGUAGCCGAACUGAGAGGUUGAUCGGCCACAUUGGGACUGAGACACGGCCCAGACUCCUACGGGAGGCAGCAGUGGGGAAUAUUGCGCAAUGGGGGAAACCCUGACGCAGCAACGCCGCGUGAAGGAAGAAGGCUUUCGGGUUGUAAACUUCUUUGAUUGGGGACGAAUAAAUGACGGUACCCAAAAAACAAGCCACGGCUAACUACGUGCCAGCAGCCGCGGUAAUACGUAGGUGGCGAGCGUUGUCCGGAUUUACUGGGUGUAAAGGGCGUGUAGGCGGGACUGUAAGUCAGAUGUGAAAUUCCGAGGCUUAACCUCGGCGCUGCGUCUGAAACUAUAGUUCUUGAGUACCGGAGAGGAAAGUGGAAUUCCUAGUGUAGCGGUGAAAUGCGUAGAUAUUAGGAGGAACACCAGUGGCGAAGGCGACUUUCUGGACGGUACUGACGCU
rnacentral:rRNA from 1 species